AUGCACAGAGCCAAUUCAGAUUCAUCUGCCGGGAGCAAAACGUCCCAAAACAGAGGAUCAGGAGCAGAUGGUGAGGAUCAAACGAGGCAUGCGGAGCAGCCUACUGGGACACGUGUGUGGGCCACUUUACUGAACACCAUCUCUAAUGCUCAGCCACUUCUGAUCACCAAUCACGGUACUGAGGAAUCUAGACAAAGGAAAGAUUCCUUGCUUCAGAAGAGAUCACUUUUAGAGUCUGAUAGCGGUCUGGCAUGGACUGUCCUGUGGGUUUUCAGAUGUCGGUACAGACCGGCCCAACUUAACAUUGUACAUAUGGCUCAUCAGCUGGAAGAAGUUGAGAUCUGCCGGAAGUAUGUCCUGGAGCAGGUGUCUAGAUUGCCUCAACGUGAAUCUAGUGCAGGACGCUCUACAGAGCUUGAGCUGAGCAUAGAGGGCAGAUGGAACAGAGUACUGCUGGAUACCUCAACCAUGGUGGAGUUCAAAAAGGCACAGCUCCAGCUGGUCACACAGUACCACCUGCAAAAACAGGUUCUCACGGAUACUCUACACAACCUGGAGGCUGAGCUCAACACAAUGACACCGGAUUGCAUUGACAGCAGCACCUUACAAGUAGAGAAGCUGAAUGUAUUCCUGAAGAACAUGCAGAAGAAGAAAGGCACACUAGAGGAGCUCCUACAGACAUGCUCUCAGAUUUCAGCCCAUCUGGGUGAGGCAGAGGGACCUGUGGCCUUCAUUGAACCUUUUAGGACUUUACAGGAGAGAUGGCAAACUAUAGAGCGGGUUGCCUCCAGCAGUCUGUGGUGUGCUAACAUCUGCACAGCAGAAGUAUCUGCACUCCUGCAAGAAGCCAGAGAUCUGCACCAUGAACUGGAGCUUCUGGAGAAGUCAGUUUCUCUUCCACAUCCCUCUCAAGGACAGAUGGACUGCCGAAGUGAGCUACAAGAAACUGUCAGAACUGCAGACCUGGCAGCAUUAACAGAGCUCUACUUAUACCUUCUUGAGGUCUCUCAGGCUCUUUCCUCAAGUCCGCUGGGAAAAAAAGAGCUCAGAGAUAUGGAGGACGCAAUGCAGGGCUUGAAUUCUCAGCUUGCGUUGACUCAGGAGAAGCUCAGCUCCCAGACUUCGAAUGGCAAUGGCUGUUCACCGAUCACAAGGAUUAUCAGGGACUACAUUACAUGGGCUAAACAAACAGAAAGCAAAGUCAGCAGGAGUAGGAGGUUGGCUCUGUUUCCUGAAGAGGCAAGUCACCAGGUCAACCACAUGAAGAAACUGCAGUCUGAAACAUCUCUUAAGAAGAUUCAGUUGGCCUCUGUAUUGAAAGAGCUAAGAGAGGAAGUUACAGGACUCGGCAAGGAGGAUUCGAUGUCUCCCAUCCUUGCUUCCCUAGAGGAUUUGUACGUUAAGAUUACAGAGAAGACCGAAUGUGCUGUUGCAGAAAUGAACAGAAUGUUUCAUAUAAGAGAGAGACUGUGGAAACAGAUCACUGACAGCAGCUCUUGGUUAACCUCAGUAUUAGAAAAAGAGUCUGGUAAAACAGUGGCUUCUAAACCUAAAACUACAAUCCCAGAAUUGAGGGUUCAGCUUCAGGUAUGCACAGAGGCUUUGAAGGAAGCCGAGAGACAAGCAAAUAACUUGGAGACUCUGUUAGAUGAAAUAAAAAAUAGUGAAUCACAGUCUGAGUGUACCCGAAAGCUUUCAGCUUAUCAAUAG
rnacentral:lncRNA from 1 species